rnacentral:rRNA from 1 species
AUUGAACGCUGGCGGCAUGCCUUACACAUGCAAGUCGAACGGUAACAGGUUAAGCUGACGAGUGGCGAACGGGUGAGUAAUGUAUCGGAACGUGCCCAGUCGUGGGGGAUAACUGCUCGAAAGAGCAGCUAAUACCGCAUACGACCUGAGGGUGAAAUCGGGGGAUCGCAAGACCUCGCGCGAUUGGAGCGGCCGAUAUCAGAUUAGGUAGUUGGUGAGGUAAAGGCUCACCAAGCCGACGAUCUGUAGCUGGUCUGAGAGGACGACCAGCCACACUGGGACUGAGACACGGCCCAGACUCCUACGGGAGGCAGCAGUGGGGAAUUUUGGACAAUGGGCGCAAGCCUGAUCCAGCCAUGCCGCGUGCGGGAAGAAGGCCUUCGGGUUGUAAACCGCUUUUGUCAGGGAAGAAAAGGUUCUGGCUAAUACCUGGGACUCAUGACGGUACCUGAAGAAUAAGCACCGGCUAACUACGUG